rnacentral:rRNA from 1 species
CCUACGGGAGGCAGCAGUGGGGGAUAUUGCACAAUGGGGGAAACCCUGAUGCAGCGACGCCGCGUGUGGGAAGACGGUCCUCUGGAUUGUAAACCACUGUCCCCAGGGACGAAGAUGACGGUACCUGGGGAGGAAGCUCCGGCUAACUACGUGCCAGCAGACGCGGUAAUACGUAGGGAGCGAGCGUUGUCCGGAAUUACGGGGGGAAAAGGGAGCGUAGGCGGGGAUGCAAGUUGGGGGUAAAAACUACCGGCUCAACUGGUAGGCGCACUCAAAACUGCAGCUCUUGAGUGAAGUAGAGGCAGGCGGAAUUCCUGGUGUAGCGGUGAAAUGCGUAGAUAUUAGGAGGAACACCGGUGGCGAAGGCGGCCUGCUAGGCUUUUACUGACGCUGAGGCUCGAAAGUGUGGGGAGCAAACAGGAUUAGAUACCCUGGUAGUC